AAUAGAUACCCGGGUAGUCCACGCCGUAAACGAUGAGUGCUAGGUGUUAGAGGGUUUCCGCCCUUUAGUGCUGCAGCUAACGCAUUAAGCACUCCGCCUGGGGAGUACGGCCGCAAGGCUGAAACUCAAAGGAAUUGACGGGGGGCCCGCACAAGCGGUGGAGCAUGUGGUUUAAUUCGAAGCAACGCGAAGAACCUUACCAGGUCUUGACAUCCUCUGCCAACCCUAGAGAUAGGGUGUUCCCCUUCGGGGGACAGAGUGACAGGUGGUGCAUGGUUGUCGUCAGCUCGUGUCGUGAGAUGUUGGGUUAAGUCCCGCAACGAGCGCAACCCUUGAUCUUAGUUGCCAGCAUUUAGUUGGGCACUCUAAGGCGACUGCCGGUGACAAACCGGAGGAAGGUGGGGAUGACGUCAAAUCAUCAUGCCCCUUAUGACCUGGGCUACACACGUGCUACAAUGGAUGGUACAAAGAGCUGCGAACCCGCGAGGGUAAGCCAAUCUCAUAAAGCCAUUCUCAGUUCGGA
rnacentral:rRNA from 1 species